AGAGUUUGAUCCUGGCUCAGAGCGAACGCUGGCGGCAUGCUUAACACAUGCAAGUCGCACGGUCAGCAAUGGCAGUGGCGGACGGGUGAGUAACGCGUAGGAAUCUAUCUCUGGGUGGGGGACAACCGUGGGAAACUACGGCUAAUACCGCAUGAUACCUGAGGGUCAAAGGCGUAAGUCGCCUGGAGAGGAGCCUGCGUCUGAUUAGCUAGUUGGUGGGGUAAAGGCUUACCAAGGCGACGAUCAGUAGCUGGUCUGAGAGGAUGAUCAGCCACAUUGGGACUGAGACACGGCCCAAACUCCUACGGGAGGCAGCAGUGGGGAAUAUUGGACAAUGGGCGCAAGCCUGAUCCAGCAAUGCCGCGUGUGUGAAGAAGGUCUUCGGAUUGUAAA
rnacentral:rRNA from 1 species